CUCUUCCCUGUCUAUCUUCCCACUACCCCCUCUCUCUCUUUCUCCGCUUCCUCUUCCCACUCUACCUCUCUUCCUGUUUCAUCACUUCUCUCACUCUCCUCCUCUAUCUUUCCUAGCUUUUUUUUUGUGGUUUCUUAUUUGCAUGCUUGAGCAGCCUUCUCUGUUGAAGAAACCCUAAGUAUAGGUCUAGGAAGAAGAAAAUCUAGCAGUUCGGGUUUCUUAUUUUUUCACGUUCUCCACUUUUCUCUGCUCUCUUCCCUGCCUAUCUUCCCACUGCCCCCUCUCUCUCUUUCUUAGCUUCCUCUUCCCACUCUACCUCUCUUCUUGUUUCAUCACUUCCCUCACUCUCAUCCUCUAUCUUUCCCAGCUUUUUUCUAUGGUUUCUUAUUUUCCUGCUUGAGCAGCCUUCUCCGUUGAAGAAACCCUAAGUCUAGCAGUUCUGGUUUCUUAUUUUUUGUUAUAAAUGAAACCCUCCUUUCCCCUGAUUUUAGCUCAGUUGAUAAAGUGAAGGACUGCGAAUGGGUUUGUCGUUACUUUGAAUCUGCUCAGUUGAUAAAGUGAAGGACUGCGAAUGGAUUUGUCGCUACUUUGAAUCUGGGGUUUUUGCUGACAUUAUUUCCUCUAUUCUAGAGGUGGAAAGGCUACGCUUAUUGUAGAGUUGUUGCUGGUUUCGGGGUAGCCAAUGGAUGCAUUAGGUUGGUUUGUGUUGGAGAUGGAGGUUGAAGGCUAACCAAUCCAUCCACCAGCCACCCAUGUCAAAUUGUCAAUUAUGUGACUGAUGAUUUAAGUUGAGGAGAAAGAGGGAACAUCUCCAUCUUUGGGCUCAGAGGCAGGUUCGUGGUUGGUGUGUUGAAGUCUUGCAUAAGUAUUGGAGGCAAACCCAUGGAGAGAAGCUUCAAAGCCCGUAUAUGUGCCGACCCACAGGGAAAACCAGUUAUGCACAAUGAAAACAAGAAGAAGCCGCAGGUCUCAUUUGGUUUUGUGAGUUGUGUUUACCUGAACAAAUCCUAUCUUAUUCACAGCUGAUGUUUUCAUUUCCUACAGUGAAGUUGAAAGAGAGCUUGGGCUCUUUUUUUUCCAGAGGAGGAAAAUGGAGAUCUGAAAUAGGAAAUAAGACUAAGCAAUUAAAAAAAAAAACUUUAGUAGCAGGAAACCUUCUGUAUUCAGAUACCAAUCAUGUAUCAAAAUCAUGAGUUUGAAAUUCCUUGUUACAUUAAUCAAUCACAAUGUGAUAGGCAUUCCAUUAUGUGUAAAAAGCCCAUACAUAUGAGAGUAACUGAAAUCAUUCUGCUUCCAUUCCUAAUCUUCCUUUGGUUUCUAAAUAACCGACUUAUGUAUCCGGAAUUCAGGAUUCAACAUGAACCAGUCAAUGGCGUCCCUACUUUGUUUAGGUUAUUCCCAUGUUUAAAAAUCUUGGUAUCAUCUUGAGAUUCAUGCUAUGAGUUAAUAUUGUCGUUGCUACCUAUACUGAUGAACUUCUUGAGCAACAACUGUUUCUUCCUUUGUGCCAAAUCUGUAAUGUGAGACUCUAGACAUUCUAUAUAUGAUUGAUAAGUAAUGUGAUC